CACGUAGGGGGCAAGCGUUGUCCGGAUUUAUUGGGCGUAAAGAGCUCGUAGGCGGUUCGGUAAGUCGGGUGUGAAACCUCCAGGCUCAACCUGGAGAGGCCACCUGAUACUGCUGUGACUCGAGUCCGGUAGGGGAGCGUGGAAUUCCUGGUGUAGCGGUGAAAUGCGCAGAUAUCAGGAGGAACACCAGUGGCGAAGGCGGUGGUCUGGGCCGGAACUGACGCUGAGGAGCGAAAGCGUGGGGAGCGAACAGG
rnacentral:rRNA from 1 species